GUUCUAAAGAGAUUACAGAAGAGUAUAAGUUGAAUGGUAAUCACCUUUCCAAAAAACAAAAGCAAAAGUCUAUAGAUUGCAAAGCAAAAAGAAAAGAAACAGGAGAUAGUUAUGGUCCAUGUUCAUCAUUAUUUUAUCUACUGUUUUACUCUGUGAGCAGCUUAACAUGUUGAGUGCCAAAUAAGUUUACAGGAAUUAGCUGUACUGAGGUGGCCUUUGGUUAUUCUUUUGGACACAGGUAAGAAGCUUUCAGGUUUCUUAAAUUCAGGUUGGUACCUUUCCUGGGUAUCCUAACAAGGGAAUGUUAGGAUUCAUGUAACAAUUAAAUGGAAUUAUCAUAUAAUGAUUAAAAGGAGUAACUGUACAGGCUGCUGGCAGGCACACACCUGGGAGCCCAUGUUGCUGGAGGAAGCCCAUCUCCAUUAUCACCUCCAGCUGUGGCCACACUGCAGCCCCAAACCAUCUGAUGCUAGCAGAGAACCUUGGGAAGGGAGGGCGUUAUGAAAAGGAAGGGAAGGAGGAAGAUGUGAAAAACAAAAUCCAAGUCUAAAAUUGUUGGUGUGGAGUCUACGGGCUGAAUUUUACAUAAGAUGCACCCGUUUCCAAGGAACUCACCAAAGGGGUGCCAAAAAAUGCUUUGGGAUCCCUCGUUAAGAGCACUUCAACCCCUGUUUGACUCAGCUCCACUUCACUGAAGAAAGCAGGAGAGACAUUCAGAGCUCUUUUGAGAUAAUGGAGAGGAAACCCUGCAGAUGCAGUGACAGAAAUGGCAAUUACAGCAACACCGGAGCAGAGAUGUCUCCAUCAAUUACAUCACGCUCAGGUGUUGGGAGCUGCAGAUUUGGAAAAGGUACCCUGGGAGAUGGAACCUCAGAAGGAAAAGCAGCUCCCAGAUGGGACCAUGAUGUUCAAACCCCUUUGCAAGGUGAAGGAUUCUGUGCUGGCAGAUGUGAGGAAGAAUCCUGGCCAGUGGGAUACAGAGCAAGUUGUGUACGGUGCGGAGCAAGAAAGGUUCAGCCACUGCAGACUCCCAUGGCAUGGAAGAUCGUUUCCCUGUCGAUCUCAGGAAGCUUCACCGCUCCAAGAUGGAAGUAGCCAGUGUCCAUACACUGUCCAGGCACACCGCUGAGCAGGGGCUGUGAAGCAGGACUUGGAGCUCACUCUUUUAGUCCCAUUCAGAAUCAGUGUAUUCCUCUCGGUUCUGUGUCAGUCGCUUGCAUUCAGUUGGUGCCUCAAAGACAGAACUGCUGUGUGCAGGCUGGAGAGCCUGGCUAGACAAUUGUAUGCGUCUGUGACUAAGCUGCAUGCGAAGAGCUGAAAUAAAUGAUUUUUUAAUUUGAUGCA
rnacentral:lncRNA from 1 species